UGUUCAAAGCAAAAGACCAUUUGAGAUCAACAUCAAUCUCUUCUUCAAACCAUGAAUGAAUAUCGUCAUUCAAGGGUCUCCCAUUGACAACUAAUCCAUCAUCAACAGACUGUGCAUUAACUUUAGAUGACAAACCAUUUGAAUAUUGGAAGAACUCAACAGCUUCACCCAUGAUAUAUAUAUAUAUAUAUAUAUAUAUCUAUAUAUAUAUAUGUAUGUAUAUCUCAAUGUAAACUUAAG
rnacentral:lncRNA from 1 species